rnacentral:rRNA from 1 species
AACGAACGCUGGCGGCAUGCCUAACACAUGCAAGUCGAACGAGACCUUCGGGUCUAGUGGCGCACGGGUGCGUAACGCGUGGGAACCUGCCCUUAGGUUCGGAAUAACUCCCCGAAAGGGGUGCUAAUACCGGAUAAUGUCUUCGGACCAAAGAUUUAUCGCCUUUGGAUGGGCCCGCGUUGGAUUAGCUAGUUGGUAGGGUAAAAGCCUACCAAGGCGACGAUCCAUAGCUGGUCUGAGAGGAUGAUCAGCCACACUGGGACUGAGACACGGCCCAGACUCCUACGGGAAGCAGCAGUAGGGAAUAUUGGACAAUGGGCGAAAGCCUGAUCCAGCAAUGCCGCGUGAGUGAUGAAGGCCUUAGGGUUGUAAAGCUCUUUUACCCGGGAUGAUAAUGACAGUACCGGGAGAAUAAGCUCCGGCUAACUCCGUG